rnacentral:rRNA from 1 species
AGUACCGCGAUCCACGUGAAAUGUCGCGAGAAUCUGGGGCGACCAAGCUCCAAGGCUAAAUACUUUAGCGGACCGAUAGUGAACUAGUACCGUGAGGGAAAGGUGAAAAAUACCACAAGUAGUGGGGUGAAAUAGAUCUGAAACCAUUUGCUAACAAACAGACAGAGCCCUUCGGCAGUAAUGCUCAGGGUGAUGUCGUGCCUAUUGAAGAAUGAGCCCGGGAGUGUUUCUAGAUAUCAAGUUUAAUGCCGAUGAAUCGGCAGAAAGCGUAGCGAAAGCGAGUGCGAAUAGCGCGAUUAGAUGUCUGGAGAUGACCCGAAGCCGCUUGAGCUAACCUUGGACAGGGUGAAUCCCGAUGGAAGUCGGGACGAGGCCCGAACGGAUCAGAGCUGCAAAUCUGUCCGAUGAUCUGAGGUUAGGGGUAAUAUGCCAAUCGAAAGCGGGAAUAGCUGGCUCUCUCCGAAAUAUAUUUAGGUAUAGCGUCUGGUGUUGAAUAAGGGGGGUAGAGCUACUGGAUGAGUGUUUUGUGCGCAAGCACAGGCAUUUAACCAAACUCCGAAUACCUUUAUUUUUAGCCAGGCAGUCAGUCCGUCCGGGCUAAGCUGGAUGGGCAAAAGGGGAAGACCCCAGACUCUCAGUUAAGGUCUCUAAAUCUAUGUUAAGUGGGAAAGGUGGUGGAUUGCCUAAGACAGACAGGAGGUUGGCUCAGAAGCAGCCAUCCUUUAAAGAAAGCGUAAUAGCUCACUGUUCGACCUGUAUAGGUCGGCAAUCUGCGCCGAAAAUGUAAGGAGGCUAAAACAUAGUACCGAAACUGGAGGCUUUCGUGCACAACACGAAGGAUUCAAAACCCUAACCCUACCCUUUCCCUUGAAAAGGGUAAGGGGAUGAAAUUAUUUAGAACAAUAUGUAAAUUGUUUCUAAAUUAAGGUUAUAUUGAGUUUUUUGUGUUGUGCAUGGGAGCGGUAGGAGAGCGUUGUUAGUGCGGCGAAGGUGGUCCGAAAGGAUAGCUGGAGCGCUAACAAGUGAGAAUCCGGGCAUGAGUAACGAAAUUCAGGUGAGAAUCCUGGACUCCGAAAUAUCCAAGGUUUCCGCAGCUACGUUGUUCGUCUGCGGGUUAGUCGAUCCUAACACGAGCCCUAUGUAGUGUAGGGGUAGUGGAUGGACAAUCGGUUAAUAUUCCGAUACUUUGGUAAAUUCGCUAUAGUUGGGUCGUGACGGUGAGUGGAAGGUCUAAAGUAGAAGUGAAAUGCUACUUUUAAGCGUCUAGUCAGAAGGGGUUGGUAAAUCCGCCUUUUCGUUUUAACAUGAAGCGCUAAUAAGAGUUUCGAGAAAUCGAGGCAAUUAGAUUGAGUCCAUUUAUCCAAGAAAAGCGUCGCAACAAGAAUUUACUAAAUUCGUACCAAAACCGACACUGGUGGAUGAGUCGAGUAGACUAAGGAGAUUGAAAGACAGAUGAUUAAGGAAAUUGGCAAAUUAGCUGGGCGUAAGUUUUCGAGAUGCCCUGUCCGGGGUAACAUCCGGACUACAACAAAAGAAUGCAUGGCGACUGUUUACCACAAACACAGGUCUCUGCAAACCCGUAAGGGGAAGUAUAGGGGCUGAAAUCUGACCGGUGCCAGAAGGUUAAAAAAAUGGGUUUUUCCGCAAGGAUCGGCCUGUUUUAUAAGCCCUGGUGAACGUCAGCAGUAACUCUAACUGUUCUAAGGUAGCGAAGUCCUUUGUCGUGUAAGUUACGACACGUAUGAAAGAUUCAACGACUGUGCAACUGUCUUAAUCAUCUAUUCAGUGAAAUUGAAAGAGCGGUGAAGAUGCCGUUUAAUUACAUCAGGACAAAAAGACCCCAUGAAGCUUUACUGGAUCUUUACAUUGAUAAGAAUCUAAAUAUUGUCGAGCGUAGGAGGGAGACUUCGGUCACCAAUGGAACACCUCCCUUGUUUAUUUUUGAAUCUAAUCCACUCCGAUGGAUCUCGGAGGGUAACAGUGUAUGGUUGCUAGUUUGCCUGGGGCAGGCACCUGCAAAAAAGUAACGCGGGUA